AUACGGAGGAUGCGAGCGUUAUCCGGAUUCAUUGGGUUUAAAGGGUGCGCAGGCGGCGCUCCAAGUCAGCGGUCAAAGUUCCGGGCUCAACCCGGUGUCGCCGUUGAAACUGGAGUGCUUGAGCAGGUGCGACGGAGGCGGAAUGCGUGGUGUAGCGGUGAAAUGCAUAGAUAUCACGCAGAACCCCGAUUGCGAAGGCAGCUUCCGAGCACCCGUCUGACGCCGAGGCACGAAAGCGUGGGUAUCGAACAGGAUUAGAUACCCUGGUAGUCCACGCGGUAAACGAUGAAUACUGGUUAUCCGGUCCGUUUCUGGUCUGGGUGACUCAAGCGAAAGCAUUAAGUAUUCCACCUGGGGAGUACGCCGGCAACGGUGAAACUCAAAGGAAUUGACGGGG
rnacentral:rRNA from 1 species